UACAGAGGGUGCAAGCGUUGUUCGGAAUUAUUGGGCGUAAAGGGCGCGUAGGCGGUCCGGCAAGUCUCUAGUGAAAUCUCUGGGCUCAACCCAGAGCCUGCUGGGGAAACUGCCGGGCUGGAGUAUGGGAGAGGUGAGUGGAAUUCCUGGUGUAGCGGUGAAAUGCGUAGAUAUCAGGAGGAACACCAGUGGCGAAGGCGGUUACCUGGGCUUGUUCUGACGCUGAGGCCCAAAAGCUGGGGG
rnacentral:rRNA from 1 species